GGAGAAAUGGAUACACCAUGUGGAAUGCCUGCAUUGCAUGCUUUCUUAGAGGAAAACUUAAACCACCGACCACUGAAAACAUAAGUAAUCUGAAAGUACUGGAUCUAUAAUCAGUGACAUCAGAGUGAUGGCAAAAUUAAAUUCUGUGUGCAUGAGCUACAUUUUCCACCAGUCAGUAUGGAACUGAUUAUAUACAUCUGGAUGAUUCGUUGCUCUCCGGGCUGCUUUUCCUAUAAUUGAGAUGAAGCUCACUGAUAGGAAUUCCAAGGAUUACCUUUAUUUUUGUUAAAAGGAACAAAAAAAAUAUUAACCCCUCUGUGAUUCACAAAAUUGCUGUGAAGGUUAGAGAGUAAGUGGGUACUUAUUAGUAUAACCGAGGCCCCAACCCUCACCCUAAAGCUGAAAGGUUUCAAAGAGCUUGAUAACUUUUUUCAUGAUUUAUCAUUUUUGUACCACCUUAUCAGUUUUCACUAAUGAGACAAGUGGGUUUCAAACAACAUAUGACCCUCAUUUCAACUUUGCAUUGCUCCGUUGAUGUGCAUCUGAGGCUUCUUAAUGAUGUGCAUUUGCUAAAUGAGUGUUUACUCAUGUUCAUGUACACAGUAUAAAUCAGCCUUCACUUACCAUGUAAUGAAAAUAUAAUGCAUCUCAUGAGGCUGUGCCAAUUAACAGGAUUUUUAAAAGCUCAAAAUGUUGCAUCAGUUUUAUUAUGCCGAUAAAUAGUCACUGCUUAUUAAACAGUACCUUUAAAUACUAAAUUAAAUAAAAGCUGCAUGUUCAUUUCUUUAUUGCAGAAGCUAUAAGCUCUGCUAGCUGGCAGGAAUCCCUAAAACCUGCACCCUACAAUAAAAUAGAGCAGCUCAGGAACAUCAUGUUUGCGACCAAACACCCAGUCAGAAUAGGCUCCUGAGGGAUAUACUUAGGCUGCUGACAGAUAUUCAAUUUAACACACAAUGGGAACCAUCCAUAAAGUUAUUAUACGUAUUUUGUGUAAUGACUUUGUGGCUUAUUCCCAGUUUUAUCACACCAUUAAUUGCAUGAACGUGUGACCAGGUUACAAUUUAAGAGGUGAUUAACUAGUUAAUCACAUCUGAAGUGUAAUGUCUGCCAGGGACCUUUGAUAAGCCACAUUUACUUAUGCAGGCUACAGAUCCUUCCUGAACUGCAGAGAUUUUUUAGACUCCAGAGAAGAACUAUAAAAAUAACAUGCCCCCGAUGCAUACAGCUCCAAAGCUCUAUGUAUUUCUCCACCUCUCAGGUAAAACUCUACCAGCCAGACCCUAUCACACUAACCCACAAGAGCUGCAUAUUAUGUAGGCUGAAGCUUCAAGGUGGCCUCUAAUUCCUUUAUCUUCUUGAUGAGCCUGCCACAAGCAAAACCAGCACUCCAGCAAUUGGGGCAUUUGGGACACACCUGUUUUGACAUAAUGAACCACCACAGCAAAGCAAUCUCUGAUUGUACCUACUAAUUCUGAGUCUGGACAGUGGCCUUUGUAUUUAGAAUUCAGGAACCAAAACAGAAACAGGAUAUAACAACGUGUGCGCUCUAUUUAUGCAAUAUGCCAAGCAGCCACUUGAAACACAAAAAAGGUUUUGUCCCUACGAUGAAAUAGUUUCAAGCAGAGCCCCUGCUGGUUAUUUGAUAAAAAAUCAGAUUAAUAAAAGAUGGAUCACAUCUACAGUCUCAUUUAAUCUCUCCUAUGUUAUCACUUAUUAUAAUUUUGUCAAAUCAAUACAAUUUGAAAAUAAAGAGUCUCUAUCAAGAUAAUCAUUUCAGCCAACAGACACUGAAAUCCUUGUAACAGGUUCCUUUAACUUUGUAGGGCAGGAGAGUUGGUUUUGUUUAAUUGAUAACAAUAUUAAUGAUUUUUAAGAUAUUCAAACCUGUCAUGUACAUUUUAGUAUCAAAUUAGGAAUGAGGUCAUGUAAGUAUAUCUUCAAAUAUACUGUACAUUUUUCCCUUGCUUGUCUCAUAGCUUCCUAGCGUUAGAUCCAACUCUCUUAUUCUAUAUAUCACUUUGUGAAAUAUGAAUACCAGCACAUGAAACAUACUGGAACACUUGUGUUUAAAAAUAUAUCUCAUAAGCACUAUCUGCUGUAGAGCAUUCACUGUUUAAGUAGUAACUUAUUUUUCAUAAAGUUGCCACCUCAUUAUUCCAUAUUAUUCUUUUAUUGAUAGAGAAUACUUAAUAUGUGUAACGUUAUGCCUACCGGCAAAGCUGUAAUAUCAAGGAGAAAGGACAACUGGAAAAUACUUUAGGGAGAUAAGAAUAAAAGUGAUUACAACAAAUUUAGAGGCUAUUAAGAAAAAUACAAUGCACAUUCUCUGCAAAAGAGAAAAAAAGGAAAAGAUUAUUUAGGUUUGUGGAUGAAGUGCUCAUAAUGAAUUUUUGAACUUUUGCAUUCACUUGCAGUUAAAGAGAAAAUGUGAUCUGUAGUACCACAAUUGUAUAUCUGAUACAAUGGUAAAUUUGAACAUUAAAGGAAUUUUCAGAUUAAUUUUCUGAGUGCAUGGGGGUUCAAUCGUUUAGAAUGUUUCAAGAGUAUUAUGUAAUGAUCUUUAUCAUACAUUGAACUUCAAUUUGCCUUAAACUGUAUGCUUACA